AGAGUUUGAUCAUGGCUCAGAAUCAACGCUGGCGGCGUGCCUAACACAUGCAAGUCGAACGAGAAAGUGGAGCAAUCCAUGAGUAAAGUGGCGACCGGGUGAGUAACACGUGACUAACCUACCUUUAAGUGGGGAAUAACCUCGGGAAACCGGGGCUAGUACCGCAUAAUACCGAGAGGUCAAAGGAGUAAUCCGCUUGAAGAGGGGGUCGCGGCUGAUUAGCUAGUUGGUAGGGUAAUGGCCUACCAAGGCAGUGAUCAGUAUCCGGCCUGAGAGGGCGCACGGACACACUGGAACUGAAACACGGUCCAGACUCCUACGGGAGGCAGCAGUGGGGAAUUUUGCACAAUGGGGGAAACCCUGAUGCAGCAACGCCGCGUGGAGGAUGAAGCCCCUUGGGGCGUAAACUCCUUUCGAUCGGGACGAUUAUGACGGUACCGGAAGAAGAAGCACCGGCUAACUCUGUGCCAGCAGCCGCGGUAAUACAGAGGGUGCAAGCGUUGUUCGGAAUUAUUGGGCGUAAAGGGCGCGUAGGCGGUGCGGUAAGUCUCUUGUGAAAUCUCCGGGCUCAACUCGGAGCCUGCAAGGGAAACUGCCGUGCUUGAGUAUGGGAGAGGUGAGUGGAAUUCCCGGUGUAGCGGUGAUAUGCGUAGAUAUCGGGAGGAACACCUGUGGCGAAAGCGGCUCACUGGACCAUAACUGACGCUGAGGCGCGAAAGCUAGGGGAGCAAACAGGAUUAGAUACCCUGGUAGUCCUAGCCCUAAACGAUGAUUGCUUGGUGUGGCGGGUACCCAAUCCCGCCGUGCCGGAGUUAACGCGAUAAGCAAUCCGCCAGGGGAGUACGGUCGCAAGGCUGAAACUCAAAUGAAUUGACGG
rnacentral:rRNA from 1 species